UACGUAGGGUGCGAGCGUUGUCCGGAAUUAUUGGGCGUAAAGGGCUCGUAGGCGGUUUGUCGCGUCGGGAGUGAAAAUCCAGGGCUUAACUCUGGACUGGCUUUCGAUACGGGCAGACUAGAGGUAUGCAGGGGAGAACGGAAUUCCUGGUGUAGCGGUGAAAUGCGCAGAUAUCAGGAGGAACACCGAUGGCGAAGGCAGGUCUCUGGGCAUUAACUGACGCUGAGGAGCGAAAGCAUGGGGAGCGAACAGG
rnacentral:rRNA from 1 species